UACGAAGGGGGCUAGCGUUGCUCGGAAUCACUGGGCGUAAAGCGCACGUAGGCGGAUUCUUAAGUCAGGGGUGAAAUCCUGGAGCUCAACUCCAGAACUGCCUUCGAUACUGGCGAUCUCGAGUUCGGGAGAGGUGAGUGGAACUGCGAGUGUAGAGGUGAAAUUCGUAGAUAUUCGCAAGAACACCAGUGGCGAAGGCGGCUCACUGGCCCGAUACUGCGCUGAGGUGCGAAAGCGUGGGGAGCAAACAGG
rnacentral:rRNA from 1 species